GUUUGAUACUGAUCAUUUUAUACAGCUAAUUGAAGACCAUACCGGUGUCUGGGACAUGGCAUCCAAAAAGUAUAUGGACCAAAAUGAACGAGAAAAAAGUUGGGAAGAGAUCGGAAAAGGAAUGUGUGCAACGUGGGAUGAAUUGGGACCACAAGAAAAGCAACAACAUGUGAAGGACUUAAAAAACAAAUGGAGGCAUAUAAGGGAUAGUUACUCCAAAUUUGUAAAUCAAGGAAAAACUGGUGAUCCCGCGACUAAAAAAAAAAAAAUAUGUGUAUGCUGAUUCACUGGCUUUCCUACAACAUACCGUGGUAAAACGAAGAACUUCUGGAAACAUCGAUGUUAAUGACGAAGAGGAAAAUGAAAGCGAAGCAAGCAGCAGAGACGAGUGUGCUUAUAGAAGUGGUGGCGAAGAGGAAAAUGAAUGUGACAGGUCAUCGAAGGUAGGAGUGUCAGCGACUGCUAAGCGAAGCAAAUCGGUAGUUACUGAAUUUCAAAGAAGACUACUAGAAAAGUUAGAAAAACACAGCCCCGAAGAAGAAGAUGGGGAUAGAGCAUUUCUGUUGUCACUGCUCCCCAAUGUUAAGAAAUUGAAUGAUGAAGAGAAACUUGAGUUUCGUUUGUACGCCCUACAAUUUUUUCGUGACCUGAACCAGAAAAAGAAACAGACACUUAAUCACAGCACUUCAUCUAUGUCUCAUAUCCCUGUCUAUCAUCCAGGCAGCCAGUUACCGUCACAGUUUUUACCUCCGUCAGCUGAAACCUUCCCUACAUGCCAGCAGAUCGCACCUUCUUAUCAAUACAGUCCAUGCAAUCAGCCUACCCUUCACUCAGCAAUUUCGUCCUCUCUCCAGCAAAAUUCAAACUCAUAAUGUUUAUUUUUCUCUCUCUUUAUAAUUACAGUAAAUUUGAAUAACAAACUUUUGUAUUUCAAACUCUUAUUAA